CAGCAGCCACGGUAAUACAGAGGGUGCGAGCGUUAAUCGGAUUUACUGGGCGUAAAGCGUGCGUAGGCGGCUUUUUAAGUCGGAUGUGAAAUCCCUGAGCUUAACUUAGGAAUUGCAUUCGAUACUGGGAAGCUAGAGUAUGGGAGAGGAUGGUAGAAUUCCAGGUGUAGCGGUGAAAUGCGUAGAGAUCGGAAGGAACAUCUGUGGCGAAGGCGACUAUCUGGGCCAACACUGACACUGAGGCACGAAAGCGUGGGGAGCAAACAGGAUUAGAUACCCGAGUAGUCCCUGUCUCUUAUAC
rnacentral:rRNA from 1 species